GCUAUGGCGUCUUCGCUAAUCGCUUCUCAAGCUCUCCCUCUUCGACGGCCCCUCCUCCCGCCGAAGCUCCACCGCCCACUACCUUCGCCGCUCCUCCUCCCUUUCUGCACUGUCAAGUCUCCAAAUCUUCGCCUUAGGGUUUUAGCUUCCUCAUCGCCUUCCUCUUAUUCACCAAAACUUUCCCAUCAAUCACAAGAAUUGCCGAU
rnacentral:misc_RNA from 1 species